UUGCAUGCACACUCAUGAUCAUGGUCAUAUGAGUUGCUGAGUACUGCUAGCUGUUUAGACUAGUUGUGUUGUUGUGCUGAUUGCUAGCUUAGUUUUGGUUACUGAGAGUUGAAGAGAGAGUUGCAGAAAAUUUGAUAGAUCUACUCUUACUGUUGGACAGUUACUGAGAGAGAAGCAAGGAGGCAGAGGUAAAUUCAGCUCUUACUGUUGGACAGUUAGUGAGAGGGAAGCAGGGAGGAAGAGGUGAAUAGAGCUCUUAUUGUUGAACAUUUACUGAGAGAGAAGCAAGGAGGCAGAGGUGAAUAGAGCUCUUACUCUUGGACAGUUAUUUAGAGAGAAGCAAGGAGGCAGAGGUAAAUAGAGUUGUUACUGUUGGACAGUUAUUGAGAGACAAGCAAGGAGGAAGAGGUGAAUAGAGCUGUUACUGUUGGACAGUUACUGAGACAGAAGCAAGGAGGCAGAGGUGAAUAGAGCUC